rnacentral:tRNA from 1 species
CAGAUUGUAGCUUAUAUUAAAGCUUAUUAUUUACAUUAAUAAGAAAAAAAAAUAUUUCUUUCUGA